GAUGGAGAACGUAGCGAAAUGCGAUAAGUAAUGUGAAUUGCAGAAUUCAGUGAAUCAUCGAAUCUUUGAACGCACAUUGCGCCCCUUGGUAUUCCGAGGGGCAUGCCUGUUCGAGCGUCAUUAUAACCCCUCAAGCUCAGCUUGGUGUUGGGGCCUGCUGCACUGGCAGCCCUUAAAAUCAGUGGCGGCGCCAUCUGGCUCUAAGCGUAGUAAUUCUUCUCGCUAUGGAGUCCUGGUGGAUGCUUGCCAUCAACCCCCAAUUUUUCUAUGGUUGACCUCGGAUCAGGUAGGGAUACCCGCUGAACUUAAGCAUAUCAAUAAGCGGAGGA
rnacentral:misc_RNA from 1 species